rnacentral:rRNA from 1 species
GAUGAACGCUGGCGGCGUGCCUAAUACAUGCAAGUCGAGCGAAUGGAUUAAGAGCUUGCUCUUAUGAAGUUAGCGGCGGACGGGUGAGUAACACGUGGGUAACCUGCCCAUAAGACUGGGAUAACUCCGGGAAACCGGGGCUAAUACCGGAUAACAUUUUGAACCGCAUGGUUCGAAAUUGAAAGGCGGCUUCGGCUGUCACUUAUGGAUGGACCCGCGUCGCAUUAGCUAGUUGGUGAGGUAACGGCCCACCAAGGCAACGAUGCGUAGCCGACCUGGGAGGGUGAUCGGCCACACUGGGACUGGAACACGGCCCAGACUCCUACGGGAGGCAGCAGUAGGGAAUCUUCCGCAAUGGACGAAGGUCUGACGGAGCAACGCCGCGUGAGUGAUGAAGGCUUUCGGGUCGUAAAACUCUGUUGUUAGGGAAGAACAAGUGCUAGUUGAAUAAGCUGGCACCUUGACGGUACCUAACCAGAAAGCCACGGCUAACUACGUGCCAGCCGCCGCAGUAA